AACCCUGGGCAAUGGGCACAGAGACACCUUAGUGGUGUUCUUCUGUCAGUCAAGGGCAGGGCAGAUAGCAGGCCUUUGUUCAUCCUAUCUUGAUGCCUGGCUUGGUGGCCAAAGUUAUUUCAUGCCUAGGGCACAUUA